GCACAAGCGGUGGAGCAUGUGGUUCAAUUCGAAGCAACGCGCAGAACCUUACCAACCUUUGACAUCCUGAUCGCGGGCACCAGAGAUGGAGCCUUUCAGUUCGGCUGGAUCAGAGACAGGUGCUGCAUGGCUGUCGUCAGCUCGUGUCGUGAGAUGUUGGGUUAAGUCCCGCAACGAGCGCAACCCUCGCCCUUAGUUGCCAUCAUUUAGUUGGGCACUCUAAGGGGACUGCCGGUGAUAAGCCGCGAGGAAGGUGGGGAUGACGUCAAGUCCUCAUGGCCCUUACAGGUUGGGCUACACACGUGCUACAAUGGCGGUGACAGUGGGAUGCAAUGGAGCAAUCCUGCGCAAAUCUCAAAAAGCCGUCUCAGUUCGGAUUGUGCUCUGCAACUCGAGCACAUGAAGUUGGAAUCGCUAGUAAUCGCAGAUCAGCACGCUGCGGUGAAUACGUUCCCGGGC
rnacentral:rRNA from 1 species